CUUUCGAUAGGCGUCGACCGGCGCACGGGUGAGUAACGCGUAUCCAACCUGCCCAUAACUAAGGGAUAAUCCGUAGAAAUGCGGUCUAAUACCUUAUGUGAUCCGAGGAAGACAUCUGAUUUGGAUUAAAGAUUUAUCGGUUAUGGAUGGGGAUGCGUCUGAUUAGAUUGUUGGCGGGGCAACGGCCCACCAAGUCUGCGAUCAGUAGGGGUUCUGAGAGGAAGGUCCCCCACAUUGGAACUGAGACACGGUCCAAACUCCUACGGGAGGCAGCAGUGAGGAAUAUUGGUCAAUGGGCGGGAGCCUGAACCAGCCAAGUAGCGUGCAGGAUGACGGCCCUAUGGGUUGUAAACUGCUUUUGUAUGGGGAUAAAUUGCUCCACGUGUGGAGUAUUGCAGGUACCAUACGAAUAAGGACCGGCUAAUUCCGUGCCAGCAGCCGCGGUAAUACGGAAGGUCCGGGCGUUAUCCGGAUUUAUUGGGUUUAAAGGGAGCGUAGGCCGUGGAUUAAGUGUGUUGUGAAAUGUAGGCGCUCAACGUCUGACUUGCAGCGCAUACCGGUCCACUAGAGUGCGCGCAACGCGGGCGGAAUUUGUCGUGUAGCGGUGAAAUGCUUAGAUAUGACGAAGAACCCCGAUUGCGAAGGCAGCUCGCGGGAGCGCAACUGACGCUGAAGCUCGAAAGUGCGGGUAUCGAACAGGAUUAGAUACCCUGGUAGUCCGCACGGUAAACGAUGGAUGCCCGCUUUUCGGUCAUUAGACCGUGAGGCCAAGUGAAAACAUUAAGCAUCCCACCUGGGGA
rnacentral:rRNA from 1 species